rnacentral:pre_miRNA from 1 species
AGUUUGAUUGCUGGAUCACAUGGUAAGAAUGUUGUUUUGUAGGAAACCACCAAACUGUCUUCCAAAAUGGCUGUACCAUUUUGCAUUCCCACCAGCAAU